ensembl:lncRNA
GGAGCUUCGUUCGAGUAUUUUCUGAGCCUGAUGGAUUUACAGUGAUCUUCGGUCGUCUGAGGAAUAACUCUGGUGGAACAAUGCACUGGAAUGACACACGCCCUGCACAUUUCAGGAUACUAAAAGUGGUUUUGAAGGAGGCCCUGGCUGAAUGCCUCAUGGAUUCUUACAGCUUGGAUGUCCAUGUGGGAUGAAGGACCGCAGCUGGCUGCGAGGACUGAGAUCUCUGUUUACUUGGGUCUCUGCCAACUUCCUUUGGGUCUCCCUAUGGAAUGUAAGACCCCGACUCCUCCUGGUGAAGCGUCUGAUGCAUGUUCCGUCCGGCGCUCAGCUGGGCUUGAGGACAGGAAAUUGAGGCUGUUCCCUUGACCUCUCCAGACAACUUCGUGGUGACUUCAAGCCCUCUUAUGAGGUGGUGGAUCAUAGCUACCGUUGAUUGAGAGCCAGUCUUGGUGCUCUGUGUUCACCUGAUUCAUCUGAGGGACUGCAUCUACCCUGCCCUUGCCAUAGUUCCUGCCCUGUUUGCUUCUCCUGUUGCUGCUAGUGGACAUUGCCUAGUUCUGUGAUGAGCUCUUCACACCUGUGCCCAUAGGGACUGUGGGAGAGUUUGUCUGAUAUGGACCGUGAUGCGGAUGAGAAAACUGCUACUCAGAGAUGCUGAACAUAACGUGGCACAGCUGAUAAGUAGCAAAGAUGAAAGUCCAGGUGCAGAGAAGUUCCGAGAAUGUGGCCCUCCUGGGAUGGAAGGUGUCCUUGUGCUAGUCAUGAGCGAGACAGAAAGAAACUGCCAAAUUGUCUUCCAAAGUGGCUACAUCAUUUUGCAAUCCCACCAACAAUGAGAGUCCCUGUUGCUGCAAAUCCUCCACCAGAAUUUGGUAUUCAUGUUUUGGAUUUCAGCAUUCUAAUAGAAGGACAGAAUAAUGGGCUCCAGAUUCACAAGCCCCACCAAGAGGAUCACCCCAGGAACCCUUGGAGGCUGAGGAAUUCACUGAGGCUAGUGCAUCUCGAGACUCAGGAUGAAGACCCAACUUGGGGCUGUCAAAGGUGCAACCUGCCAGCUGAGACCUCCAAGGGUCGAGCCCGGGCCCCUUUGCCUUGUUCAUGGCUUAGGCCAGUGCUUAGCAUAUAGUAAACAACUUGUAAAUGUUUAUGAGAGGAUGUGUGGGGGGUCAUCCCUUCGGAAUGGCACACUGUCCAUUAUCAUUGUCCUCAGAGGCUCCAGCCUCAGGUGCUUCUUAAACUUCGAUGGGAAUGAUGGCAGCAGGUGGGUCCAGGGCUCAGCACGAGAGCUCACAGCAGGCUGUGCUCCACCCCACGCAGGCCCCCAGUCUUGCCAUGUUUCCUCUGCCUCACCAGGCUGGCCUAGAAACUGCUUCCAACUGAAGCCAGCCAACAUGCCUGCCCCUAACCACACCUGCAACUCUAGGGUCACCGUUAGUCUAGAUUAGGGGCCCUUAAACUGUAGCCUUUGCCGGGCAUGGUGGCUCAUGCCUGUAAUCCCAGAACUUUAGGAGGCCGAGGCGGGUGGAUCACUUGAGGUAGGAAGUUCGAGACCAGCCUGGCCAACAUGGCGAAACCCCGUCUCUACUAAAAAUACAAAAAUUCACCAGACAUGGUAGCGCACACCUGUAAUCCCACCUACUUGGAAGACUGAGGCAAGAGAAUCGCUUGAACCUAGGAGGUGGAGGCUGCAGGGAGCUGAGAUCACACCACUGAACUCCAGCCUGGGCAACAGAGUGAGACUCCCUCUCAAAACAAACAAACAAACAAACAAAGAAACACUACAGCCUUUGGGCUAAAUCUGGUCAGUGUUCUGUGCUUGUAAGAACUCUGAGUUAAGAACAAUUUUUACGUCUCUCUAAAGGGUUGAAGAAUACAAAAAGAAUAUUUAACAGAGACCAUCUGGCUAGCAAAGCCUAAAAUAUUGACCCUCUGGUCCUUUACAGAAAAGGUGUGCCGGUCACUGGACUGGGCAGUGCCGACCGCACCCCGGGCUCCCUGUGAAAAUUUCAACCAUACACACUCAUCUCCUUUCUCUUAUCAACACUGAGGCAGGUGAGAUUAUCAUUCCUUGUAAACAUGGAGAAACUAAGGCACAGAGAGGCUUAACUCAUUUACCUGAGAAUCUAUUAAGUAACAGAGCCAGGGUUCCAACCCAGGCAGUCUAGCUUCAGAGUCCAUACCUCCUAGCUGCACUCUGGGCCAUCAGCGUAGGGACGAGCUUCAGACAAGAACUCCCCUCUUAGUUUCCGCCCUAUCCUGCCCCACAGCCAGUGGACAGGCAUUUUGCACCCCAGCCUCCCCCAGCCAGCUCCUCCUCAGAGAUUUCCUGCAGGGACUUAGACGGGGCUCUGGGACCAUCCUCCUUUUCUGCCCCACCCGGCACCUGGAACUCUGCUUGAUCCUGCUCCCUCUAAGGCUGGACACGUCUCCAUGAGCCAGGCCUGAAGUUGUUCCCCUCUCUGGACCUCAGGACCUCCCUUCCUAGGAGCAAUUCCUGUAUCCCCUAUCCUCUCUGCCUUCCCCUCUUCCCACCAUGUCCUUCCAAUAAGGGGCUGGAUUUGUAGUGUGCAGCCUUGGGAACAGGGUUGGGCUCAGGGAUUGGGAGCAGAGGCCCAGGGCUCUGACUGACCCUCUGUCAUCCCCAGGAGGAGAAGCUGCUGUAUUUAGAGUGUCACAAAGAAUAGUGUUGGAGGCUUCAGAAACCAUGGGAGAUUCUGAACUUCUAGGCUAAGCAGAUGGGAUGGUGUCUCUGUGAUCAACAGGCCUGGUAGAGGGAGGCAGGAGGGGGUGAGAAUGGAAAGACAGCUGCCAAGGGGAACAGAGAGCUUUUCAAGUCACCGUUGUCCCCUCCCCACCUCACCAUCAGGGCUAAGACUAAACCUAACCAUCCGGUUGCAGCCCCUCGGCCCUGGGGAUGGAGAUUAGUGUGCAUAGAAUGAAGGUACAGAGGCCAUGUUCUGGCUGUGUGACCUUGCACAGGUUGCAUAACACUCUGUGCCUCACUUUACUCAUUUUUAAAAUGAUGAAGAUGAUAACUACCUGGCAGGGUCUUAUAUUAGAGAUAAUACGGUUCCCAGCACUUUGUAAGCACUCGGUGUGAAAUUGUCUUCUGCUGCUUCCCUUAUCAGUCCACCCCUCCUCUGCAGAGGUUUCCUCCAUGCUGAGCAAGCUGGCAGUAACUAAGGCCCUGCUGGGCGCAUCCCUAGUGCCUUCUGCCCAGGCCUCGGGACCCCCAGGGAUCCUGGCCCCUGUGGACAGGGACUUUUGUGCUCUCCUUCACUGUUACCAGCAAGAGUGAGUCCUGCACUGAAUUUCCAUGGAUCAUUGUUUGCUAACAUUUGUGUGUGAGUUACCGUCUAGAAAGCAGCUUUUCUGGCCUUUUCCCAUUAAUUUCACGAAAGUUAUCUUCCUUUGCCGUUACUGCAGUCCUGUGAGAGGUUCAUUACCCCAUUUUACAAACAACUAAUUGCUCCCAGAUGAAGUGACUCCCCCGGGGUCGCCUAGCUAAGCAGUGGAGAGUGGGUCUCCCACCCGGCCCUCUCACUGUGACUCCUGUUCUCCGCGUCAUUGCAUAUGGCGACAUGUGGGUCACGUUUUCACACAUCCCUGGCUGAUAUGGAAUGGUGAGCUUCUCCUGGGUCUUCCGAGGAGGGAUGCUUUCAGGGGUGUUUUGGAAUGAAGGCAGUGGAGGCCAAGAGACCUCUAGGUCAAAGCCAGGCAGGAGGGUCCUCUCAGGGACCCAGCCAACAAGUUGCAUUUCUCCCCCAGAGGCUUGAAGAGGCAGAACACCCGAGAGGAGUCUGGGGCCACCACCCAGCGUCACUGGGAAAACGGCAGCAGGAAAUGUUCUCUCACCUGCGUGCUCCACCUCUGUCCACGCCUUCCCUCCUUCUGGAAGCCUUGCCUGACCACUGGCCUGCCCCUUCUAUGGGAAUCGCUGCUGACCUUGCAGCUCACUGUAGACUUAUAUGUAUGCAGAAAUAUAAUUUUAAUUACUUUUGUAUUGCUCCAAGAGUGAUACCGAAUCACAACAGAAAAUUUAAAUAAACAAACUAGCCAAAUUAAUACAAGCAAUCACCCCAGUCAAAUACACCCAGCUCACAUUUUGAUGUAAAAUCUUCCAGUACAUUUCCUAUGUACAUAUAUAUUUUUAGGAAGGAGAUUAUAUUUUACAUGCUGUUUUCUAAAACGUUCUUUUAAAACUGUGUCAUAAACAUUUUUCCUUAUAAUUAAAUCGUCUUCUACAACG